GGACCGCAAUGGAGAUCAAGAGUCACUCCGAAAGCGUUCCGAGUUGGGGGCUUUAAAAAGGCUUGUCAAAGGACAAAGGAUGAGAUCGCUGGGCGGCAGGGUGUCCCAAAUGGUCCUAGAAACUGCGCCUCCGCGAUUCCUGUUAACUGGUCGCCAAGUUUUUCUAGAGGAGUCGCUCCUCUUGGCAGGGUGGGGCCUCGCUUCCUACCCAGCACUUCUUUGUGUGCUGGCUUUUGGUUCCGGUCAUUCCCAGCUGCCCAGGAGCUGAGUGGGCAGUGCGGUGGCUGGCCGGCGAGGAAGGAGUGGGCUGGAGGCUAGAACAGAGAGAGGUGGGGCGCUCUGGGGACUCCGAGGCGGCCAGGCUGGGGGCGCCCUAGAUUGCAGCCCCGAACUGCCGCCCCCGCUGGAGCCUGGUCCCUAGAGGCCGAGAUGCUCCUCUCCAAGGGGCGCUCAGAGUAACCAUGGGGCUCUUGCCUGCCGAUGCAACCUUACUCAAUAUUGAUCCUCGAAAAUAUCUGGGAUAUGUAUUGCUAUAAUGCAGUAUGUGAUUGGUUUUGGUUUUUUGUUUUUUAAAGCCACAAAUACAAGCAAACUAAUAAUGUAAGUUUCAGAAUCAAUAGGGAAAGUUCGCAUGUUGAGUCGUGGUGGUUUUCUUUUAAGGUUUUAAUUUGGAUAACAUGCUAGUGCUUGUGAGAUUUUACAAAAAGCAUUCUUUUAUUGAACUUUGCUGCUGCGCAGUUGUCGUGAUGAAACACGAAGACACCAGAGCUGUACCUCACGAUAAGGCUUUAAUUGCCAGAAGCUUCUGAAAAUGCAACAAUAAUUCUAGAUAGGUCUACUGGGUUCUUGGCACAGUACCACAUGGACCUGGACAAAGCAUUGUUAAGGAUGGCGAUACUGCAGUGAGGUCUGAUGCGUCUGAUGGAGAUACUGUGGUUGCUGAAAGUGAACUGCCCGAGACGGCUGGGAGGCUGUCUGAAACACACUUAGCUGUGCUGGCUGAGGUCCUGCC